rnacentral:rRNA from 1 species
UACGGAGGGUGCGAGCGUUGUCCGGAAUCACUGGGCGUAAAGGGCGCGUAGGCGGCGCGGGCAGUCAACGGUGAAAGCUCGGGGCUCAACUCCGAGUCGGCCGUCGAUACUCCCGCGCUCGAGCACUGUAGAGGCAGGUGGAAUUCCGGGUGUAGCGGUGGAAUGCGUAGAGAUCCGGAAGAACACCGGUGGCGAAGGCGGCCUGCUGGGCAGUAGCUGACGCUGAGGCGCGAAAGCCAGGGGAGCAAACGGG